GGCGUGCUUAACACAUGCAAGUCGAACGGAAAGGCCCUGCUUUUGUGGGGUGCUCGAGUGGCGAACGGGUGAGUAACACGUGAGUAACCUGCCCUUGACUUUGGGAUAACUUCAGGAAACUGGGGCUAAUACCGGAUAGGAGCUCCUGCUGCAUGGUGGGGGUUGGAAAGUUUCGGCGGUUGGGGAUGGACUCGCGGCUUAUCAGCUUGUUGGUGGGGUAGUGGCUUACCAAGGCUUUGACGGGUAGCCGGCCUGAGAGGGUGACCGGCCACAUUGGGACUGAGAUACGGCCCAGACUCCUACGGGAGGCAGCAGUGGGGAAUAUUGCACAAUGGGCGGAAGCCUGAUGCAGCAACGCCGCGUGCGGGAUGACGGCCUUCGGGUUGUAAACCGCUUUCGCCUGUGACGAAGCGUGAGUGACGGUAAUGGGUAAAGAAGCACCGGCUAACUACGUGCCAGCAGCCGCGGUGAUACGUAGGGUGCGAGCGUUGUCCGGAUUUAUUGGGCGUAAAGGGCUCGUAGGUGGUUGAUCGCGUCGGAAGUGUAAUCUUGGGGCUUAACCCUGAGCGUGCUUUCGAUACGGGUUGACUUGAGGAAGGUAGGGGAGAAUGGAAUUCCUGGUGGAGCGGUGGAAUGCGCAGAUAUCAGGAGGAACACCAGUGGCGAAGGCGGUUCUCUGGGCCUUUCCUGACGCUGAGGAGCGAAAGCGUGGGGAGCGAACAGGCUUAGAUACCCUGGUAGUCCACGCUGUAAACGGUGGGUACUAGGUGUGGGGUCCAUUCCACGGGUUCCGUGCCGUAGCUAACGCUUUAAGUACCCCGCCUGGGGAGUACGGCCGCAAGGCUAAAACUCAAAGGAAUUGACGGGGCCCCGCACAAGCGGCGGAGCAUGCGGAUUAAUUCGAUGCAACGCGUAGAACCUUACCUGGGUUUGACAUGGAUCGGGAGUGCUCAGAGAUGGGUGUGCCUCUUUUGGGGUCGGUUCACAGGUGGUGCAUGGCUGUCGUCAGCUCGUGUCGUGAGAUGUUGGGUUAAGUCCCGCAACGAGCGCAACCCUUGUUCACUGUUGCCAGCACGUUAUGGUGGGGACUCAGUGGAGACCGCCGGGGUCAACUCGGAGGAAGGUGGGGAUGACGUCAAGUCAUCAUGCCCCUUAUGUCCAGGGCUUCACGCAUGCUACAAUGGCUGGUACAGAGAGUGGCGAGCCUGUGAGGGUGAGCGAAUCUCGGAAAGCCGGUCUCAGUUCGGAUUGGGGUCUGCAACUCGACCUCAUGAAGUCGGAGUCGCUAGUAAUCGCAGAUCAGCAACGCUGCGGUGAAUACGUUCCCGGGGCUUGUACACACCGCCCGUCAAGUCAUGAAAGUUGGUAACACCCGAAGCCGGUGGCCUAACCGUUGUGGGGGAGCCGUCGAAGGUGGGACUGGUGAUUAGGACUAAGUCAUAACAA
rnacentral:rRNA from 1 species